CAGCCGCCGCGGUAACACGUAGGUGGCAAGCGUUGUCCGGAAUUAUUGGGCGUAAAGCGCGCGCAGGUGGUUUAAUAAGUCUGAUGUGAAAGCCCACGGCUCAACCGUGGAGGGUCAUUGGAAACUGUUAAACUUGAGUGCAGGAGAGAAAAGUGGAAUUCCUAGUGUAGCGGUGAAAUGCGUAGAGAUUAGGAGGAACACCAGUGGCGAAGGCGGCUUUUUGGCCUGUAACUGACACUGAGGCGCGAAAGCGUGGGGAGCAAACAGGAUUAGAUACCCCCGUAGUCCCUGUCUCUUAUAC
rnacentral:rRNA from 1 species